rnacentral:rRNA from 2 species
ACGUAGGGUGCGAGCGUUGUCCGGAAUUACUGGGCGUAAAGAGCUCGUAGGCGGUUUGUCACGUCGUCUGUGAAAUCCUAGGGCUUAACCCUGGACGUGCAGGCGAUACGGGCUGACUUGAGUACUACAGGGGAGACUGGAAUUUCUGGUGUAGCGGUGGAAUGCACAGAUAUCAGGAAGAACACCGAUGGCGAAGGCAGGUCUCUGGGUAGUAACUGACGCUGAGGAGCGAAAGCAUGGGUAGCGAACAG